rnacentral:lncRNA from 1 species
GAAGACGAUUUAAACUUCAAGCAGUAUUGACUUACCUAUGAAUCACUUAGUAUAUAUGAGCUUCUCAGAGAAGAAAUCAUAAACAUUGAGAGUUGCCAUGCAUAAUGAUGACCUUCAACACAUAUGAAGAAAUUACCCAGAUCAGCAUUUCCCCAUCUUUCAUGGAAUAAAAGAGAAAUCACCGAGGACUGGAAGUUGGCUGAUAGAACUGACAUCAGAAAGACCAUUCAAAACGAAGAGCCAGUGUCAAGAUCCUGUAUACCCUUCCUGUCAUUACUCCCAAAGUAGCCUUUUCAUGGAUCCAGCUUUCAGGAUCUGUAAAGAGACACAACUGUUUUACAGUUCGAUUGGAACUGGGGAGGAGUUUAAAAGAAUCACAGUAAGCCCUCUGGUCUUUUCCAGGAGGAUAAUCAACAACAUUGACUGAUUAUGUUUGUAUGGCUUGUUGGAUAAAAAGGAAUGAACAGGAGCUCACCAGCCAUCAGAGAAUUGCAGCUAACCCUAGCCUUUUCCUUCUGAAGUGCCUUGCUCCCUGUUUGCCUUUCACCACGACUGGAAGUUUCCUCCAGCCUCCGCAGAAGCAGAAGCCACAAUGCUUCCUGUACAGCCUGCAGAACUGUGAGCCAAUUAAACCUCUUAUCUUUAUAAAUUACCCAGUCUCAGGUAUUUCUUUAUAACAGUGCAAGAAAGAACUAAUAUAAUAUUGUACUAUUUGAAAAGUGAUUGCAGAGCUUGAAAGAAGUGUGCUUGAGCCUGUAAAAUUAGGCACUAGACUUAACUACAUUUCUUUGAGUACCUAAUGGUGCAGAAAAUGGUCACGAGAACUGGGGAGAAAUUAUCAAAAUUUUCUUUAUUGUACAUAUAUAUGCACAACAUACAUUCAUUCAUUUUCUCACUGAUGGAGAAUUUGGAUGUGUUAAAACACUGUGUAUUUUAUUUUUUUUUUAAGUAGUGCAUGAGAAAAGAGAAAGAAUAAAACUUAUAAGAAGAAUAUAUUGAAUUUAACGUUUCUAACAAUUGAAUGUUUAUGACCCCCAUAUUUUUAAGUUAAAUACUGUGAAAAGGAUUUUUUUGGUGCGCAAUUGUAUUUUAAUGCAUUUAUAUUGAUAUAACACCACAAUCAAAAUACAGACUAGUUCUAUUACACCGCAGAACUUUUUCUUCUGCUUUUUUUUUUUUCUAGUCAAACCAUCUCUCCAUUACUCAAUCUAGCAACUACUGCUCUUGUCCCUGUCUUUACAGAUUUCUCUUUCCCAGAAUGUUAUUAAGUAAAAUCAUAUAGUAUGUAACUGUUCGAGACUGGCUUCCUUCAUUCAACAGAAACUGCCUUUGAGAUUCAUCUAUAUUGUUGCAUGUGUUGAUGAUUUAUUUUUUUUAUAGCUAAGCAGUAUUCCAUUGUAUGGAUGUAUCUAUGGAUGAGAGUUUGUAUGAUGCACUUAUCCAUUGGAAUACCUUUGGACUGUUUUUAAUUUCUAAUGAUUAUUAAUAGAGUUGCUAUAAACAUUCAUGUACAGGUUCCCAAACCUAAGUUUUUGUAUCUCCAGGGUAAAUAAUAAGGAAUCGAUUUGUUGACUCAAAUGGUAAGUAUAAGUUUAAGUUUACCUAAAACCACCAAUCUGUUUUCCUGAAUAGCUGUACAUUUUUCAUUUGCACUAGCAAUGUGUGAAAUAUCUACGUGUUCUGAAUCCUUGCUAGCACUUGGUUUUGUCAGUUUAUUUUGUUUGUUUGUUUUAGCGGUUCUACUAGGUAUGUCAUAGGACUUGGUGUGUCACUGUGCUUUUAACUGGCAUUACUCUAAUGCUAAUAUGAUAUUGAGCAUCUUUUCAUGUGCUUAUUUGCCAUCCCUAUAUCUCUUUUGGUAAAGUGUCUGUUGAAAAUGUUUGCCU